GGCUUUAUAUUCAUUCAAUGAUAUUAGAAUGCAAUUCUAAUGGUGUAAUAUUAUUUCUAAGGCUU
rnacentral:tRNA from 1 species